rnacentral:rRNA from 1 species
AUUGAACGCUGGCGGCAGGCCUAACACAUGCAAGUCGAACGAGUGGCGGACGGGUGAGUAAUGUCUGGGAAACUGCCCGAUGGAGGGGGAUAACUACUGGCAACGGUAGCUAAUACCGCAUACCAUCGGAUGUGCCCAGAUGGGAUUGGCUAGUAGGUGGGGUAACGGGUCACCUAGGCGACGAUCCCUAGCUGGUCGGAGAGGAGGACCAGCCAAACUGGAACUUAGACACGGUCCAGAAGCCUAGGGGAGGCAGCAGGGGGGAAUAUUGCACAAUGGGCGCAAGCCUGAUGCAGCCAUGACGCGUGUAUGAAGAAGGCCUUCGGGUUGUAAAGUACUUUCAGCGGGGAGGCGUUACCCGCAGAAGAAGCACCGGCUAACUCCGUGCCAGCAGCCGCGGUAAUAC